CGGUUGCCUUGCCGUCCCACCGACGUACUAACUACUAGGCGACCUUCGACGGUACCGUCACCACGAAGACCACGGCGACUACGUGCCAGCAGCCGCGGUAAGUACGUAGGUAGGCGAAGACGUUGUCCGGAACGUUAUUGGCGGUAAAGACGCGCGCAGGCGGUCCGUUUAACGUUACUGAUGUGAAAGACCCACCGGACGUCAACCGUACGGAGGGUCGAUUGGUAAACGUAGGAGGACGUUGAGUGCAGAAGAGGAAAGUAGGAAGUUACCUACUGUGUAGCGGUGGAAAUAGCGUAGAGAUGUGGAGGAACGACCACGUGGCGAAGGACGGACUUUCUUGGUCGUGUAACUAGACGCUGAGGCGCGAAGACGUGGGAGGCAAACAAGGAGUUAGUAUACCCUCGGUAGGUACCACGCCGUAAACGAAUGAGUGCUAAGUGUUAGGGGUCGUUUCCGCCCCUUAGUGCUGCAGCUAACGCAUUAAGCACUCCGCCUGGGGAGUACGGCCGCAAGGCUGAAACUCAAAGGAAUUGACGGGGGCCCGCACAAGCGGUGGAGCAUGUGGUUUAAUUCGAAGCAACGGUCGACGCGGCCG
rnacentral:rRNA from 1 species